UCAGCAGUCUGCAAUUGCAGGUUGCGAUCACAGCUGUUGUGGUACGUCCUUUUUUUUUUUUUUUAAUGAAUAUUCUCAUUCAAAGUUUGUUUCAUGGACAAUCCAGCGUUGACACUGGCAACGAAUGGGAAUCUGGAGCGCCAGGAGAAGCAUUUUAAAGUAGAUCUUGGUCAAAAAAGGUUGGACACGCCUGCCCCAGAAUAAUCCGACAUAUGCACAAACUUCCAUUUCUGCAAAAAAUGAGCAGUGUUGAUAGCGGCUGAGAACUCGAGAACAAAAAGCUAAACAUGAUUGUGUUCUUUGGUUGAUUCUUGAUCAUUUCCCCAAAACACGAUAUGACCAAUCCAGCAAAAAAGCCUUCAAAUGAACAAGGGCAAAA